rnacentral:rRNA from 1 species
GACGAACGCUGGCGGCGUGCUUAACACAUGCAAGUCGAACGGAAAGGCCCUGCUUUUGUGGGGUGCUCGAGUGGCGAACGGGUGAUUAACACGUGAGUAACCUGCCCUUGACUUUGGGAUAACUUCAGGAAACUGGGGCUAAUACCGGAUAGGAGCUCCUGCUGCAUGGUGGGGGUUGGAAAGUUUCGGCGGUUGGGGAUGGACUCGCGGCUUAUCAGCUUGUUGGUGGGGUAGUGGCUUACCAAGGCUUUGACGGGUAGCCGGCCUGAGAGGGUGACCGGCCACAUUGGGACUGAGAUACGGCCCAGAGUCCUACGGGAGGCAGCAGUGGGGAAUAUUGCACAAUGGGCGGAAGCCUAAGGCAGAAACGCCGCGUGCGGGAUGACGGCCUUCGGGUUGUAAACCGCUUUCGCCUGUGACGAAGCGUGAGUGACGGUAAUGGGUAAAGAAGCACCGGCUAACUACGUG